rnacentral:rRNA from 1 species
GUGCUUAACACAUGCAAGUCGAGUGCGCGGUAGCAAUACUGGCGCACGGCGCACGGGUGCGUAACACGUGGGCAACCUGCCCUCUAGAGGGGGAUAACCCGCCGAAAGGCGGGCUAAUACCGCAUGACAUCCCAGUGGCUCAAGCUGUUGGGAUCAAAGCCCGCAAGGGCGCUAGUGGAGGGGCCCGCGCCCGAUUAGCUUGUUGGCGAGGUAACGGCUCACCAAGGCUAUGAUCGGUAGCCGGUCUGAGAGGAUGGCCGGCCACACUGGAACUGAGACACGGUCCAG